rnacentral:rRNA from 1 species
AUUGAACGCUGGCGGCAGGCUUAACACAUGCAAGUCGAGCGGGGUGAUGGUGCUUGCACUAUCACUUAGCGGCGGACGGGUGAGUAAUGCUUAGGAAUCUGCCUAUUAGUGGGGGACAACAUCUCGAAAGGGAUGCUAAUACCGCAUACGUCCUACGGGAGAAAGCAGGGGAUCACUUGUGACCUUGCGCUAAUAGAUGAGCCUAAGUCGGAUUAGCUAGUUGGUGGGGUAAAGGCCUACCAAGGCGACGAUCUGUAGCGGGUCUGAGAGGAUGAUCCGCCACACUGGGACUGAGACACGGCCCAGACUCCGACGGGAGGCAGAAGUGGGGAAUAUUGGACAAUGGGGGGAACCCUGAUCCAGCCAUGCCGCGUGUGUGAAGAAGGCCUUAUGGUUGUAAAGCACUUUAAGCGAGGAGGAGGCUCUUUUGGUUAAUACCCAAGAUGAGUGGACGUUACUCGCAGAAUAAGCACCGGCUAACUCCGUGCCAGCCGCCGCCGUAA